AAGUUUAAUCGCCAGCAAACGAAAACCCGCGAUUUCCCGUAAAUCCCGGGCUUGGCCCGUAUAGUGGAAUGUAUAUAAAGAAAGUACCCUGUGAGCAAACUCAUUUCCAGAACGAUUUUUUAAAUUAUUUUUUCACCACUAAAACGCAAGAGACUUGUAGUUUUUAAAAAUGUUUUCAUUUUUGAUGAGACGCUGAAUAAAAGUAGUUUAAUCGCCGGCAAACGAAAACCCGCGAUUUCCUGUAAAUCCCGGGCUUGGCCCCAUAUAGUCGAAAGUAUACAAAGAAAGUACCCUGUGAGUAAACUGAUUUUCAGAACGAUUUUUUAAAUCAUUUUUUCACCACUAAAACGCAUGAGACAUGUAGUUUUCAAAAUUGUUUUCAUUUUUGAUAAGACGCUGAAUAAAACAAGUUUAAUCGCCGGCAAACGAAAACCUGCGAUUUCCCGUAAAUCCCGGACUCGACCCGUAUAGUCAAAAGUAUACAAAGAAAGUACCCAGGGAGUAAAUUCAUUUCCCGAACGAUUUUUUAAAUUAUUUUUUCACCACUAAAACGCAUGAGACUUGUAGUUUUCAAAAAUGUUUUCAUUUUUUGCGAAGCAAUUGAGCUUUGCGAGCGAAGCGAGCGAAGCGAAAUUGUGGAGCACGUUUGCUACACGCGAGGUAUACCAAGAGAAUUAUUGAGAUUCUCAAAAUUUCGAUAGAAAAAAAAUCAUAUAAAAUCAGCGUAAAGAAAUAGGACUGAUAUUUUUGCACAUAAAGCUAGGGUAUUUUUUUUUCUAAUAAAACAAAUAAGUUUGGACCGAGGGGUUAAAGUAUAAGUUUAGUAAAAAAUGCAAUAAGUACGGCUCGUACCCCCCCACCCCCGGAUUUUGACCCCCCCCCCCGUCUUUUGGUCCGGAUUAUACGUCCGCCGAACUUGAACACACAAAGAGGAAUAUGCCGUAAACAAGAAACGGUAGUCGGCAUUUUAGACACGUAUAUUUUACAGACCCAAAAUAUGCCUUAUUUCUUUGUAUUAUAGCUAAUUAUGGUAUAAAUAAUUAAUUAAUUACUUUGCAAUUUUGCUUCUAAUACUAUUAUAGUUGUAUUUUAAUGAAACAUAAUAGUAUUAAAACGGUUUUCUUCUUUUGAAAAAAUUUAUUGCUAGUCCUGUUUCUAAUCGACUUUACUUGUGUAUUUUAAGCUUUUUUGUUGCUGUGCUUUUUCUGGAGAUUUUAGUUGGAUUGGAAAGCUCCUGUGUAAGGUACCCUUUCCUAAAGAAAAAUUGAAGUAAUUUGUACAAUUAUAACGCGCCGAGCUGUGUUUUAUUUUAUUGUUUCUAAGAAAAUGUAAGAAUACAAUAUUAUCAAUUUUAAUUGGUUUUAUCCAAAUCAAGAUUGUGUACAAUGGGAGUGAGUGAUGUAAUCUUCUAAUGCGUGUGGUGAAAAGAAGGCGAAUCCGUUAUUGUUUUUCUGCCCAAAUUUGAAGCUAUUUAAUAAAUCUUGAUAAAGUUAAAAAACUGUUUUGA